rnacentral:rRNA from 1 species
UAGGGAAUCUUCGGCAAUGGACGAAAGUCUGACCGAGCAACGCCGCGUGAGUGAAGAAGGUUUUCGGAUCGUAAAACUCUGUUGUUAGAGAAGAACAAGGACGGUAGUAACUGAACGUCCCCUGACGGUAUCUAACCAGAAAGCCACGGCUAACUACGUGCCAGCAGCCGCGGUAAUACGUAGGUGGCAAGCGUUGUCCGGAUUUAUUGGGCGUAAAGCGAGCGCAGGCGGUUUCUUAAGUCUGAUGUGAAAGCCCCCGGCUCAACCGGGGAGGGUCAUUGGAAACUGGGCGACUUGAGUGCAGAAGAGGGGAGUGGAAUUCCAUGUGUAGCGGUGAAAUGCGUAGAUAUAUGGAGGAACACCAGUGGCGAAGGCGGCUCUCUGGUCUGUAACUGACGCUGAGGCUCGAAAGCGUGGGGAGCAAACAGG